rnacentral:pre_miRNA from 1 species
AUGUAGGGCAAUCUGUCUUUAGGUAGGGGAAAAUUACUCUAAAGGAAAUGAAUCCAACAUAAUUUUCCCUUCAAGUCAAGCAUCUUGU